rnacentral:rRNA from 1 species
CAGUGGGGGAUAUUGCACAAUGGGCGAAAAGCCUGAUGCAGCGACGCCGCGUGAGGGAAGACGGUCUUCGGAUUGUAAACCUCUGUCUUUGGGGGACGAUAAUGACGGUACCCAAGGAGGAAGCCACGGCUAACUACGUGCCAGCAGCCGCGGUAAUACGUAGGUGGCGAGCGUUGUCCGGAAUUACUGGGUGUAAAGGGAGCGUAGGCGGGAAUGCAAGUUGAAUGUCAAAUCUAUCGGCUCAACCGAUAGCCGCGUUCAAAACUGCAUUUCUUGAGUGAAGUAGAGGUUGGCGGAAUUCCUAGUGUAGCGGUGAAAUGCGUAGAUAUUAGGAGGAACACCAGUGGCGAAGGCGGCCAACUGGGCUUUAACUGACGCUGAGGCUCGAAAGCGUGGGGAGCAAACAGGAUUAGAUACCCUGGUAGUCCACGCUGUAAACGAUGAUCAAUAGGUGUGGGGGGUCUGACCCCUUCCGUGCCGCAGUUAACGCAAUAAGGUGAUCCACCUGGGGAGUACGGCCGCAAGGCUGAAAUUCAAAGGAAUUGACGGGGGCCCGCACAAGCAGUGGAUUAUGUGGUUUAAUUCGAAGCAACGCGAAGAACCUUACCAGGUCUUGACAUCUCCUGAAUAGCCUAGAGAUAGGUGAAGCCCUUCGGGGCAGGAAGACAGGUGGUGCAUGGUUGUCGUCAGCUCGUGUCGUGAGAUGUUGGGUUAAGUCCCGCAACGAGCGCAACCCUUACUAUUAGUUGCUGCGCAAGAGCACUCUAAUGGGACUGCCGUUGACAAAACGGAGGAAGGUGGGGAUGACGUCAAAUCAUCAUGCCCCUUAUGACCUGGGCUACACACGUAAUACAAUGGCGUCCAACAACGGGAAGCGAAGCCGCGAGGUGGAGCAAAUCCCCAAAAGACGUCCCAGUUCGGAUUGUAGGCUGCAACUCGCCUACAUGAAGUUGGAAUUGCUAGUAAUCGCAGAUCAGCAUGCUGCGGUGAAUACGUUCCCGGGCCUUGUACACACCGCCCGUCACACCAUGGGAGUCGGUAACACCCGAAGCCAGUACUCUAACCGCAAGGAGAGGGCUGUCGAAGGUGGGAUUGAUGACUGGGGUGAAG